AGGAGCGGUGGAGAACGCGGACACCGCUACCGGAAAGAGUCAGCUGGAACUGUGAGCCCCACGGCCCCCACCACCGAACGAACGAACCCCCCCGGAACCGACGGACCGAGACCCCACCCAUGGACGGACGGAACAGGACGGACAGAGCGCCCCCCAUUGGAAGGACACAAGGACGGACAGAGCCCCCCCAUGAACGGACUGGACGGACACAAGGACGGACGAGAGCCCCCCUGUGGACGGACACCAAGGACGGAGCCCCCCCCACCCCGGCCCGCCCUGCUUUGCACUUUGGCCUAUGGGGGCUUUGCACUAUGUCGGGAGCGGCCAAUGGGGAGCGUGGAGGGGCAAGGCGUGGCGCGCUCGGCCAAUGGGGAUGGAGAAAGAGCGGGGCCAAUGGGGUGCGAGUGCGCCCAAUGGGGAGAAAGUGCGCCCAAUGGGGAGCGAGCACGCCGAGGUUGGUGGCCAAUUGGGUGUGAGGAGCAGAGGAGGGAGGGUGGGUCCGGGCGUGAGCCAAUUGGGGAAGGGAUCCAGCCCUGAGCCAAUCAGGAGGCACCUACAGCGGAGCUUCGGCCAAUCAGGAGCGGAGCUGGGUGGGAGCGAGAUCUGGUCUUGAGCCAAUCAGAACAGAGCAAGGGGCUUGGGUGAGGCACAGGCUCGGACCAAUCAGGAUCGGCCUCUGCCGGGCUGGGAUCUGGUUGUCAGCCAAUCCAGAACGACUUCCUGUUGAGCCGGGGGGGAUGAAGGGGAGGGAUCUGGUGUUCAGCCAAUCAGUAGAGCUCAUCAGAACAGGGGGGGUUGGGGUUCGGUCAGGAGCCAAUGGAGAGCGAGCGAGCGAGUCAGAGAAACUUUAAGCCAAUCAGGAGAAAGCUCUCAGUGGGGAUCCAGUGCUGAGCCAAUGGGGAGCGGCGCUGAGAGGGCUGAGCGGGAUGUGGUUAUUGGCCAAUCAGGAGCGGCCCUGGGCUCGGGGGAUCCACCCCCGCCCAACCGGCAGCGUUGCUGGAUGGAGGCGGGAUCCGGCCGGGAUCCAAUCGGGAGUGACGUUGGAUUGGAGGGGCGGGUCCCGUGUCCAUCCAGCGGGAGGUGGGCGGGGCGGGGGCGGGAUCCGGUUGGGAGCCAAUCAGGAGCCGCCCUGGGCCGGGCUGAGAUCCGGUAGGGAGCCAAUCGGGAGGGAUUGUGGGGUGUUUGGCGAUCCAGGAGGGAGCCAAUCAUGUGUUGCUGUGGGACAGGCUGGGAGCCAAUCAGGAGCUGUCCUAGGCUGGGCUGAGAUCCAGUAGGGAGCCAAUCAGGAUGGAUUGUGGGGGUGUUUGGCGAUCCGGUAGGGAGCCAAUCAUGUGUUGCUUUGGGACAGGCUGGGAGCCAAUCAGGAGAAGCCCUGGGCCGGCCUGUGGUCCAACAGGAGCCAAUUGGGAAGUACUGUGAGGUGUUUAGUGAUCCAGUAGGGAGCCAAUCACGUGUCACCUUGGGGAAGGCUGGGAG
rnacentral:lncRNA from 1 species